rnacentral:rRNA from 1 species
GACGAACGCUGGCGGCGUGCUUAACACAUGCAAGUCGAACGGUGAAGCGCCUUCCUUUUUGGUGGGUGUGGAUGAGUGGCGAACGGGUGAGUAACACGUGAGUAACCUGCCCCCUUCUUCUGGAUAACCGCAUGAAAGUGUGGCUAAUACGGGAUAUUCUGCGUCUGUCGCAUGAUGGGUCUGGGAAAGAUAUUGUUUCGGUGGGGGAUGGGCUCGCGGCCUAUCAGCUUGUGGGUGGGGUGAUGGCCUACCAAGGCGGCGACGGGUAGCCGGCCUGAGAGGAUGACCGGCCACACGGGGACGGAGAGACGGCCCAGACUCCUAGGGGAGGCGGCAGGGGGGGAGUUUCCGCAAUGGGCGAAGGGCGGACGGAGCAAUACGGGGUGGGGGAAGAAGGGUCUUGGGUUGUAAACCGCUUGUCUUAGGGAAGAACAAAAGGACGGUACCUAAGGAAUCAGAAACGGCUAACUCCGUG